rnacentral:rRNA from 1 species
AACGAACGCUGGCGGUAGGCUUAACACAUGCAAGUCGAGCGCCCCGCAAGGGGAGCGGCAGACGGGUGAGUAACGCGUGGGAACGUACCUUUUGGUUCGGAACAACUCCGGGAAACUGGAGCUAAUACCGGAUAAGCCCUAACGGGGAAAGAUUUAUCGCCGAAAGAUCGGCCCGCGUCUGAUUAGCUAGUUGGUGAGGUAACGGCUCACCAAGUCGACGAUCAGUAGCUGGUCUGAGAGGGGGAACAGCCACACUGGGACAGGGACACGACCCCGACCCCAGCGAGGAGUGGGGGAGGGGGAACUAGGGGAGGGGGCCCAAGCCAGACCCGCCGCGGGCGGGAGGGCGGUCAACGGGUUGGGUUUCGAAAGCUCCUUUGACGGGGAGGGAAUGACGGUAACCGGAAAAAAAGCCCCGGCUAACUUCGUG